rnacentral:rRNA from 1 species
GAUGAACGCUGGCGGCGUGCUUAACACAUGCAAGUCGAACGAAGCACUUUAUUUGAUUUCCUUCGGGAUUGAUUAUUUUGUGACUGAGUGGCGGACGGGUGAGUAACGCGUGGGUAACCUGCCUUGUACAGGGGGAUAACAGUUGGAAACGGCUGCUAAUACCGCAUAAGCGCACAGCAUCGCAUGAUGCAGUGUGAAAAACUCCGGUGGUAUAAGAUGGACCCGCGUUGGAUUAGCUAGUUGGUGAGGUAACGGCCCACCAAGGCGACGAUCCAUAGCCGACCUGAGAGGGUGACCGGCCACAUUGGGACUGAGACACGGCCCAAACUCCUACGGGAGGCAGCAGUGGGGAAUAUUGCACAAUGGGCGAAAGCCUGAUGCAGCGACGCCGCGUGAGCGAAGAAGUAUUUCGGUAUGUAAAGCU